GAAGGAGGGCCCUUCGAGGUCGGCAAUCAGGUGUUGACCUUAAGCCACCGCAAGCUGCUGUCGUCAAAAGCGAUGGUGGUGAACGUUGCGGAAAAGUCGGGACAUGAUCCCGGCAGGC
rfam:Bradyrhizobium erythrophlei strain GAS478 genome assembly, contig: Ga0132009_11